rnacentral:tmRNA from 1 species
GGGGGUGACUGGCUUCGACGGGGGCCAUGAGGUCAACGGAGCGUGCCGAGCUCUCGGAGUCUCGUUAAACCUUCGAGAAACUAUUAAGUGCCAACGAACCAUUGGCGCUCGCGGCCUAACUAACCGCGACGUCUCUCCGUUCCUCGCCUGUGGGAAUGGAAGAGACGACACGCAGCAGGCUGGUCCGAAGCCGGUGCCCAGCGGCUGAGGACGAGACCACACUGGGCUAGCCGACGCUCUAAGCCUGUCGGUGGGCGUGGGCGGAGGCGAAUCUCAAAACACCGACUACGCACGUAGGCGCCGUUGCGCUGAAGGUCCUCGGACGCGGGUUCGAUUCCCGCCACCUCCACCA